rnacentral:rRNA from 1 species
GUUUGAUCCUGGCUCAGGAUGAACUCUUGCGGCAGGCUUAACACAUGCAAGUCGAGGGGCAGCAUGUCCAGCAAUGGAUGAUGGCGACCGGCGGAAGGGUGCGUAACGCGUGAGCAACAUGCCCUAUACAGGGAGAUACACCAGGGAAACUUGGUCUAAUAUCCCAUAGCAUUCAUUGAAGGCAUCUUUAAUGAAUUAAAGCUUCGGUGGUAUAGGAUUGGCUCGCGUGACAUUAGCCAGAUGGUGAGGUAACGGCUCACCAUAGCAAUGAUGUCUAGGGGUUUUGAGAGGAAGGCCCCCCACACUGGGACUGAGACACGGCCCAGACUCCUACGGGAGGCAGCAGUGAGGAAUAUUGGACAAUGGAUGGAAAUCUGAUCCAGCCAUGCCGCGUGCAGGAAGACGGCCUUAUGGGUUGUAAACUGCUUUUAUACGGGAGCAAUAAGGGUUACGAGUAAUCCGAUGAGAGUACUGUAUGAAUAAGGAUCGGCUAACUCCGUGCCAGCAGCCGCGGUAAUACGGAGGAUCCGAGCGUUAUCCGGAAUUAUUGGGUUUAAAGGGUGCGUAGGCGGCCAUUUAAGUCAGCGGUGAAAUUUUGCAGCUUAACUGUAACAGUGCCGUUGAUACUGUUUGGCUAGGAUUUGGUUGUAGUGUGCGGAAUGUGUGGUGUAGCGGUGAAAUGCUUAGAUAUCACACAGAACACCGAUUGCGAAGGCAGCACACUAAGUCAUUAUUGACGCUGAGGCACGAAAGUGUGGGGAUCAAAAGGGAUUAGAUACCCUGGUAGUCCACACUGUAAACGAUGAUAACUCGCUGUCGGCGAUACACAGUCGGUGGCCAAGCGAAAGCAUUAAGUUAUCCACCUGGGGAGUACGACCGCAAGGUUGAAACUCAAAGGAAUUGACAGGGGCCCGCACAAGCGGAGGAACAUGUGGUUUAAUUCGAUGAUACGCGAGGAACCUUACCCGGGCUCGAACGGUGCAUGAAUAUACGAGAGAUUGUAUAGUCCUUCGGGACAUGUAUCGAGGUGCUGCAUGGUUGUCGUCAGCUCGUGCCGUGAGGUGUCGGCUUAAGUGCCAUAACGAGCGCAACCCUUGUCAUUAGUUGCCAUCAGGUCAAGCUGGGGACUUUAAUGAGACUGCCACCGUAAGGUGUGAGGAAGGGGGGGAUGACGUCA